UACGGAGGGUGCGAGCGUUGUCCGGAAUCACUGGGCGUAAAGGGCGCGUAGGCGGCUCAUGAAGGCUGUGGUGAAAGUCCGGGGCUCAACCUCGGAUCGGCCGUGGCGACUCGUGGGCUGGAGCACUGUAGAGGCUGGGUGGAAUUCCGGGUGUAGCGGUGGAAUGCGUAGAGAUCCGGAAGAACACCAGUGGCGAAGGCGGCCCGCUGGGCAGUGGCUGACGCUGAAGCGCGACAGCGUGGGGGAGCAAACAGG
rnacentral:rRNA from 1 species